GAGCUUGCUUCUCUGGAUGAGUUGCGAACGGGUGAGUAACGCGUAGGUAACCUGCCUGGUAGCGGGGGAUAACUAUUGGAAACGAUAGCUAAUACCGCAUAAGAGUGGAUGUUGCAUGACAUUUGCUUAAAAGGUGCACUUGCAUCACUACCAGAUGGACCUGCGUUGUAUUAGCUAGUUGGUGGGGUAACGGCUCACCAAGGCGACGAUACAUAGCCGACCUGAGAGGGUGAUCGGCCACACUGGGACUGAGACACGGCCCAGACUCCUACGGGAGGCAGCAGUAGGGAAUCUUCGGCAAUGGACGGAAGUCUGACCGAGCAACGCCGCGUGAGUGAAGAAGGUUUUCGGAUCGUAAAGCUCUGUUGUAAGAGAAGAAUGAGUGUGAGAGUGGAAAGUUCACACUGUGACGGUAUCUUACCAGAAAGGGACGGCUAACUCUGUGCCAGCAGCCGCGGUAAUACAGAGGGUGCAAGCGUUAAUCGGAAUUA
rnacentral:rRNA from 1 species